UACGUAGGGUGCAAGCGUUGUCCGGAUUUAUUGGGCGUAAAGCGUGCGUAGGCGGUUCGAUAAGUCGGGUGUGAAACCUCCAGGCUCAACCUGGAGACGCCACCCGAUACUGUCGUGACUAGAGUCCAGUAGGGGAGAUUGGAAUUCAUGGUGUAGCAGUGAAAUGCGUAGAUAUCAUGAGGAAGACCAGUGGCGAAGGCGGAUCUCUGGACAGUUCCUGACACUGAGGCACGAAGGCCAGGGGAGCAAACGGG
rnacentral:rRNA from 1 species